ACACCCAUCAAUUAUGGCCAUUGUGAAACGAUCAAAGCGAGGGACCUGGAAAGCGAGCUGCAAAGGCACUCAAGUAGUGGUAGCUAACAUGGCCACUGAUCUGAUAGUCAGCCAUAGAUUAUCAAAUUAAAGAUAAUUAAAUUGUUAGGACAAGUACUUUUAGAGUCACUGCAAUGUUAUACUAUUACCAUAGGUGGAGGGACUCUAUCAGAGUAUCGUAAUGUGCCUCAGGUCAUUGGAGACAAGGGUCUAAUGUAUUUCAGCUAACAUUUCUCAGAAGACUGAAUUUUGUAAAAA